ACUUAAAUAGUUUAAAAAAAAUAUUAACUUGUGGAGUUUAUGAUGUAUAAAAUAAUACUUUAAGAA
rnacentral:tRNA from 1 species